rnacentral:misc_RNA from 1 species
GAUGAAGAACGUAGCGAAAUGCGAUAAGUAAUGCGAAUUGCAGAAUCCGUGAGUCAUCGAAUCUUUGAACGCACAUUGCGCCCUUUGGUAUUCCAAAGGGCAUGCCUGUUCGAGCGUCAUUUGUACCCUCAAGCUUUGCUUGGUGUUGGGCGUCUUGUCUCUAGCUUUGCUGGAGACUCGCCUUAAAGUAAUUGGCAGCCGGCCUACUGGUUUCGGAGCGCAGCACAAGUCGCACUCUCUAUCAGCAAAGGUCUAGCAUCCAUUAAGCCUUUUUUUCAACUUUUGACCUCGGAUCAGGUAGGGAUACCCGCUGAACUUAAGCAUAUCAAUAAGCGGAGGA